rnacentral:rRNA from 1 species
GUGGACUCAGUAGUGGCGCACGGGUGCGUACGCGUGGGAACCUGCCUUUAGGUUCGGAAUAACUCAGAGAAAUUUGAGCUAAUACCGGAUAAUGUCUUCGGACCAAAGAUUUAUCGCCUUUAGAUGGGCCCGCGUUAGAUUAGAUAGUUGGUGGGGUAACGGCCUACCAAGUCGACGAUCUAUAGCUGGUCUGAGAGGAUGAUCAGCCACACUGGGACUGAGACACGGCCCAGACUCCUACGGGAGGCAGCAGUGGGGAAUAUUGGACAAUGGGCGAAAGCCUGAUCCAGCAAUGCCGCGUGAGUGAUGAAGGCCUUAGGGUUGUAAAGCUCUUUUACUAGGGAUGAUAAUGACAGUACCUAGAGAAUAAGCUCCGGCUAACUCCGUGCCAGCAGCCGCGGUAAUACGGAGGGAGCUAGCGUUGUUCGGAAUUACUGGGCGUAAAGCGCGCGUAGGCGGCUUAUCAAGUCAGGGGUGAAAUUCCGGAGCUCAACUCCGGAACUGCCCUUGAAACUGGUUGGCUAGAAUAUUGGAGAGGUAAGUGGAAUUCCGAGUGUAGAGGUGAAAUUCGUAGAUAUUCGGAAGAACACCAGUGGCGAAGGCGACUUACUGGACAAUUAUUGACGCUGAGGUGCGAAAGCGUGGGGAGC